rnacentral:rRNA from 1 species
AAACCGUUCAGGGGUAAACCCGAGAAACCCGAAAGAUCGAAGGGGGGAGAUUCACCGCUAUUCGCGCGGUCGGCUUCUGCGAUUGAGUGUGAUGUGGCGUCGCUGCGUGCCGUGGUCCCUCGUGGGCUUCGCGUGCGUAUGCUGGCGUUGCACGCGCUUGCGUGGAUGAGCCCGGCUGCGUUGGCGUGCACUUCUCCUCCUUAGUAGGACGUCGCGACCCGCUGGGUGUCGUUUGAAGGGGCUUGUUUGGUGUCUUCGGUGUCGAGGCUUCGGUCUCAAUCCGGAACCGGCUUGCUCUGGAUCGACUGCCCGGCGGUAUGCAAUACGGUAUCGAGCCGCAGAGAGAUCUGCGUUCCUGACCCUCGACCGGUUGCCUCGGUAGCCCCGGAAAGUCGGUUGUUGACCGUCUCCGGAAGCCGGGUGACUUGGCUCUUGUGUGUCUCGAACUGGCUCCCAUUGGCUGUGGGUGCUUCGGCACCUCCGGGAUACUCUCAGGA